AUCCUCUGCAUUUGACCCAUCCCCAUGUUCACCCACUGGUAGGUGAGGGGAACAGUGAGCAGCAGCGGUGGCCAUGCUCGGGAAUCGUUUUGGUGAUUUAACCCCCAAUUCCAACCCUUGAUGCUGAGUGCCAAGCAGGGAGGCAAUGGGUCCUGUUUUUAUAGUCUUUGGUAGGACUCAGCCAGGGUUUGAGCCCACGACCUUCCAGUCUCAGGGCGGACACUCUAACCACAAAGCCACUGAGCAGUCUGCGUCUCCCUCCGUUGCGGGUCCACCCAGAGGACCCGCUGACAGCGCACACGGCCCCGCUCACGCUGAUCGCAGCUCGCCCACGCAACUUCAAGCCUGCAGACGAUCAGUCAACCUGCACACCUGUGACUGAUGACGUUAAGCUGUAUAAAGGGACCAGUGGACCCAAGGAUUGUAGCAGGAACUUCGUUCUCAUAUGGUGAACCUACCCUCCGUCGCCUCCAAAGUGAGCUGUGCGUCUCACUUUUCCCCGGAUCUCCUCCUUUUUGCUGAUUGCCUCCUUCGUUCGUAGACUCCUCGCUCGCCCCUGGACAACGACGACUCGCUCCUGCCUUUCGAACCCCGCUUCCGCCCUUGGACUUCCCUGCCUGCCUCGCCCUUGUCUGACAGCACCGCGUCUCCAACACUUAUGGUAAAACGCUCCAAUUAAAUAAUUCACAUAGUCUUACACCAUACACACUCUUGGGUUUUUGACACACACCAUUCUAUAUUACUAUUGUCUAUUAUUAUUAGUAGUAUUAUAUAUAUAUAUAUAUAUAUAUACAUAUAUUUACUAUAUAUAUAUAUAUAUUAAAUCUCUGUACACUACUGCCACUGCCACCUGCUGUCCGUUUGCCGUCACUCCUCUUG